UGAGGGAAUAUUUGGGGUCAAUGGGCGCAGGCCUGAACCAGCCAAGUCGCGUGAGGGAGGACGGUCCUACGGAUUGUAAACCUCUUUUGUCGGGGAGUAACGUGCGGGACGGGUCCCGUAUUGAGAGUACCCGAAGAAAAGCAUCGGCUAACUCCGUGCCAGCAGCCGCGGUAAUACGGAGGAUGCGAGCGUUAUCCGGAUUUAUUGGGUUUAAAGGAGCGUAGGCCGUCGUUUAAGCGUGUUGUGAAAUGCCGCGGCUCAACCGUGGCACUACAGCGCGAACUGGGGGGCUUGAGUGCACGCAACGCAGGCGGAAUUCGUGGUGUAGCGGUGAAAUGCUUAGAUAUCACGAAGAACUCCGAUUGCGAAGGCAGCUUGCGGGGAGUGCGACUGACGCUGAAGCUCGAAGGUGCGGGUAUCGAACAGGAUUA
rnacentral:rRNA from 1 species